rnacentral:rRNA from 1 species
ACAUAGGUGGCGAGCGUUAUCCGGAAUUAUUGGGCGUAAAGAGCAUGUAGGUGGUUUCUUAAGUCUGGUGUGAAAGCUAGUGGCCUAACCACUAAAUUGCAUUGGAAACUGGGAAACUAGAAUAUUGGAGAGGUAAGUGGAAUUCCAUGUGUAGCGGUGGAAUGCGUAGAUAUAUGGAGGAACACCAAUGGCGAAGGCAGCUUACUGGACAAUUAUUGACACUGAGAUGCGAAAGCGUGGGUAGCAAACAGG